rnacentral:rRNA from 1 species
UUAUGGCUCAGGAUGAACGCUAGCUACAGGCUUAACACAUGCAAGUCGAGGGGCAUCAGAUCGAAAGCUUGCUUUGAUGCUGGCGACCGGCGCACGGGUGAGUAACGCGUAUCCAACCUUCCCUAUAGUAGAGAAUAGCCCGGCGAAAGUCGGAUUAAUGCUCUAUGUUGUAUUUAGAAGACAUCUGAAGAAUACCAAAGGUUUACCGCUAUAGGAUGGGGAUGCGUCUGAUUAGGUAGUAGGCGGGGUAACGGCCCACCUAGCCGACGAUCAGUAGGGGUUCUGAGAGGAAGGUCCCCCACAUUGGAACUGAGACACGGUCCAAACUCCUACGGGAGGCAGCAGUGAGGAAUAUUGGUCAAUGGACGGAAGUCUGAACCAGCCAAGUAAGCGUGCAGGAUGACGGCCCUAUGGGUUGUAAACUGCUUUUAUAUAGGGAUAAAGUCGGGGACGUGUCCCCGUUUGUAGGUACUAUAUGAAUAAGGACCGGCUAAUUCCGUGCCAGCCGCCGC